rnacentral:rRNA from 1 species
GACGUAGGGCGCGAGCGUUGUCCGGAUUUAUUGGGCGUAAAGAGCUCGUAGGCGGCUUGUCGCGUCGACUGUGAAAAACCCGAGGCUCAACCUCGGGCCCUGCAGUGGGUACGGGCAGACUAGAGUGCGGUAGGGGAGAAUGGAAUUCCUGGUGUAGCGGUGGAAUGCGCAGAGUAUCAGGAGGAACACCGAUGGCGAAGGGCAAUCCCCUGGGCCUGCACUGACGCUCAUGCACG